GACAGUUUGGCCGAGUGGUCUAAGCGCUGGCUUCUGCGUCAGUCCGCAAGGGCGUGGGUUCGGAUCCCACAGCUGUUA
rnacentral:tRNA from 1 species